rnacentral:lncRNA from 1 species
UCCUGUAUAGCUUUUCAAUUAUUCAAUUUAGACUAUUUAUUCACACUCAAAUUCACACAAGAGGAGCCACUCGGCCCUUGGCCGAGUGGUGAGAGCUGCUGCUCUCCAAGUUGGAGAGCAGCAGUUCGAACUCCCACAAUGCAUGUGGGGGUGUUUCCUUCCUCAAAUAAAAUUGAGUGAAGGCAAUCUGCUUCCUUGUCCCAGUGCGAGGAGUAGACAUCCCUCAACUCCCACAAUGCAUGUGGGGGUGUUUCCUUCCUCAAAUAAAAUUGAGUGAAGGCAGUCUGCUUUCUUGCCCCAGUGCGAGGAGUAGACAUCCCUCGAAUAUUUGAGAGGGUUAAAAUCUGGGCAGUGUUCCAUUAGAUUUGAUGUAUGUUGGUCC